GGCAACGUGGCGGAGUGGUUAUCGCGACAGCCUCGAAUCACCGUUAAGCUGUUUCCUUCGGGAGCGCAGGUUCGAAUCCUGCCGUUGUCG
rfam:Fusarium fujikuroi IMI 58289 draft genome, chromosome FFTJ_chr08